rnacentral:rRNA from 1 species
UACGUAGGGUGCAGGCGUUAAUCGGAAUUACUGGGCGUAAAGCGUGCGUAGACGGCUAUCUAAGUCGGGUGUGAAAGCCCCGGGCUCAACCUGGGAAUUGCAUUCGAGACUGAAUAGCUAGGGUACGGUAGAGGGAAGUGGAAUUUCCGGUGUAGCGGUGAAAUGCGUAGAUAUCGGAAGGAACAUCAGUGGCGAAAGCGACUUCCUGGACCAGUACCGACGUUCAGGCACGAAAGCGUGGGGAGCAAACAGG